rnacentral:tRNA from 8 species
GCAUCAGUAACUCAGUGGAUAGAGUGACAGCCUCCGAAGUUGUUGGUCGCAGGUUCGACUCCUGCCUGGUGCA